UUACAUGGUUGUGUUAAUUUCAGGUAUACAGCAAAGUGAUUCCGUUAAUUAUGUCUAGUCCUUUUCAGAUUCUUUUCCAUAAUAGGUUGUUUCAAGAUACUGACUAUAGUUCCCUGUGCUCUACAGUAGCACUGUUGUUUCUCUACUUUAUAUAGAGUACACGCGCAUUGUGUCCUUGGCUAGCCCUCUCCUUUUCCCUUGACAGCAAUCCAAGUUUGCUUGGUCUUGAGGCAGUUUGGAGAGCUCGAUAGCCAGACCCCAAGUCCUUGGGGCACUGUCUUGGUUUUAGGGCUUGGUCAGUUCUAGAAUUACGAUGUUAGCUGGGAGACCAUAUUCUCCCUCCACAGCCUGCCCCCCACUCUCUCCGAACCUUCCUUGCUCCUGGAACAGAGCUCUGAACACUGCUUGUUGCCCAUACUUCUCCCUGGCACCAGCUUUAUCUGUCUCUCCCCUUUCAGCUCCACUGCUGCCCUCUGACCCCCACCCCACCGAAUUUCCGAGGGAUGUCUGCACCUGACCUUCCCCCCUGCCUGCUACCCUGUCUUUCUCUCCUAAUUACCAUUCUGUUUACACAGACUUCUCACUUUGGUUCUUUUUUUUUAAUUUUUAGUGGUUUCUGUUUCAAUCCAUCACCUUUACCAUUUUUCUCUCUGCUCUUCAUUAUUUAUUUCUGCGAAUGGGAUUACCUGUUUUGCUCCUUAUAACUUUUGGCUUUAUUCUUCCCCGUGAGAAGCUUUCUUGGGUUGUCUUUCCAGGUGACCCAGCCCCACCUGGAAAAUGAACAAAAAUUCCUUUCCCAGGAUCACUGUUGUUGUUGGGCUGGUAAUCUCCUCCUGACCUGAUGGGACUUUGUGUAACCCCCAUGCCCUCUCCUCGAGAGAUCACUUCCCAUACCCACCUUGCUGGAGUCCAUGGGCCUGGGAAGUCCAUAGGGGUAGCAAUUAUUGUUCCUGUUAUGAAAUUAAGAAAACAAGACUUAGCAGGGAGGAAAUUGAGGCCCAAGAAGAGGAACUAACUCUCCAAGUUCGUGUGGCUAGUAACGGAAGACCUGAGAGGAGAAAGGACACCAAGGAAUUCCCAGUUCAUUGCCGGCCCAGGGCUCCACCUGGAUGUGAUGAGUGGACAGGCAGCUCAUGCAAGGGAUGUCAGCCACAAGGGCUCUGGGAACAAGAUUCAGCAGCGUCUUUCCUUGUACACCAGAUGUAAGGCAUGCAGUCCCAACGGUUUUCUGGUUUGGAUGUGCCUUUGGUCCAACUUCUGUGUUCUGUCUGGAUGAGAAGUUCAGCGAGGAGGCGGAACUCAAUCAUUCCACUCAAUUUAAACCUGGUGCUGUCUGCACAGGUGGGAUCAGUAAUGGAGCUCCUGGUUUUCAGCUGGGUUCAUGGCUUCUCAGAAAAAGACAUUUCCUAAGUUUUCUUGGAGUAAGUGUGGCCAUUUGACUAUGUUGUGGACAAUGAGAUGUCAGUGGAAAAAUCAUGGGAUGCUUUCUGGAAGACUCCUUUAAAAGCGAGGAGGCAGAGGGCUUCCCUGGUGGCACGGUGUUUAGGAAUCCGCCUGCCA